GCGAGUGGGGCGCGUGCAAAGACGAGCGAGCACAAGAACCAGAUCCGCGUUGGAAGGGCGACCUUAAGGAAUUCCCACUACAAGAUGGAGUCUCACUCUGGAGUGCAGUGGUGCCAUCUCGGCUCACAGCAACUUUCACCAUCUCGGUUCAAGUGAAUCUCCUGCCUCAGCCUCCUGAACAGCUGGGAUUACAGGGUUGCUGAGCUGGGAAGAGGAAGAAUGGUCCCCGAUGGGAGGACUUCUUGGCUGCAUGCUCGGACUCUGAGCCUCUGGCACUUACUUGUCCUGACUCAGGAUGAGGGCUGUCAAAGUGGACACGAUGGUACCCAGGCAGCCCGAGAUGGCCCACCAGGGGUUCUGGACGAAGAGGCCGAGGAUG